rnacentral:rRNA from 1 species
GGGGAAUAUUGCACAAUGGGCGAAAGCCUGAUGCAGCAACGCCGCGUGAGUGAUGACGGUCUUCGGAUUGUAAAGCUCUGUCUUUGGGGACGAUAAUGACGGUACCCAAGGAGGAAGCCACGGCUAACUACGUGCCAGCAGCCGCGGUAAUACGUAGGUGGCAAGCGUUGUCCGGAUUUACUGGGCGUAAAGGGUGCGUAGGCGGACCUUUAAGUGAGAUGUGAAAUCCCCGAGCUUAACUUGGGGGCUGCAUUUCAAACGGGAGGUCUAGAGUGCAGGAGAGGAGAGUGGAAUUCCUAGUGUAGCGGUGAAAUGCGUAGAGAUUAGGAAGAACACCAGUGGCGAAGGCGACUCUCUGGACUGUAACUGACGCUGAGGCACGAAAGCGUGGGGAGCAAACAG